rnacentral:lncRNA from 1 species
CUAUCCAGCAAAGAGAGGAUUUGAGGUUAGCCUAAAUCUACAUUAUGGUGCCUGCACAGGUGCACACAAAUUGCAAACAGAGUUGACAUUUUUCACAAGUCUCUACCCAAAAUUGUUCCAGUUGGGGUAGUGAUGAAAACAUGGAAUGAUGGAGGUUCUGAGAACUUCAGUCUUGUGUUGGUGUGAUUUUUGCAAAAGCAGCAAGGGAAAUCCCAGUGAUGUUCAUUGAUUGGAAGAAGGAAGAUAAAUGUCAUAAGAAUACCUCAAGUAAAGACAGGAAGUGUCAAUAAAGUGUGGUGUGUUUCACUAAUUUUUGGUAUGGAAACUGCUCUGGAAAAGUGCCAAACGGCAGCUCCAGACUGGGCAAAACAUCUGUACCCUGCCCACACAAGAGGAAUGCUGGAGGUGACCUGGAAACAGGCAAAUAAAGAAGAUUGCUUUCAUUCACUUCAUUACCAGGAGGUCUAAAAGGCACUGUUCUCCAUUUUUCCCUUUAAAAAUCUCAUCUUCUUUUCUUUCUUUUGAUUCAUCUAUGAUGUAAAGUAUUUUUUAACCAGUGAAUGAAGAUUUUUGACCCUUAGUUGCUAAGGUGAGCAUGAGAUUGUUUCACAGAAUUCCCUUUUCCCAGUCCUUGGUCAG